rnacentral:rRNA from 1 species
AUGAGCACGCCAGGCGACGGUCCCAAGACGGAGUGGCCGGAGCUGGUCGGGCGCACGAUCAAGGAGGCGAAGGAGAAGAUCAAGGCGGACCGGCCGGACCUCAAAGUCAGAAUUGUCCCGGUAGGAAGUACUAUUGUGACAGCAGACUUCGAUUUGAAUCGCGUUCGCGUCUGGGUCGAUACGGUGGCAGAGGUUCCCAAGAUUGGCUAA